UCAGAUGGCUUUUGGGGUACGUCCUGUCAUUAGGCCGACGUACACAAAGCCAUAUCCUGAUUGGGUAGACCAAGCAUAUCCAUGGCCUAGAGGGUACAAAGUGCCAGAAUUCUCACUGUUUACCGAUUUAGGAGAGGUGUCUACUUUAGAACACAUAGGGCGAUUCACGUUGCAAAGUGGUGAUGUAACCGAUUACCAUAAAAUGAGACUUUUCCCUAGUUCGUUAAC
rnacentral:lncRNA from 1 species